ACAUAAAUUAGUCAAUUUUCCUUUUUUUAAAUUGCAAAGCCUAAGGCUAGAAAAUAAAAUAAAGAAUAUGAAUAUAAAAACUUAAGUAGGCCUAACCUUAUUGCUUUUCGACGAAGAGUCCACUGGUCUUUAAAGCAUUGUGACCACCACCUAAAUUUAGAAUAAAGCCAACCUUGUGGAUAAUAGAAAUAGAAGGCUGCCGGCUAUGAGGCUUGACAAACACCAAACACAUACUCUAAAGACAACCCACAUAAACUGAACCUCCAUUGCCAUCAGGCCAAGGUUGCUCAACAUCAACAUCGGGAAAAAGGAGAAGUGGUGGUCCUAACACCUCAUGUUAGGCAAUAGGCUAAACUCCUUAACCAAACUUUCUGUAAGAUUGAGGAUGAGAAUACAGAUUUGGGAAUGAGAACAGACGAAGAGAUACAGGAAGAAACAUGAGACUCCAUGGACAGUGCCAGCUGCUUCUCAAAUGUUUCAGUGAGAGCUUGAAGUCGAAGGGGAGUGGCGAACCAUUCAGUAAUUGGGCCAGUGGAGCUAUUUUUCAAGUCAAAUACUCUUCUGGGUAUGAAGAUGUGGCUGGUGCCAUGGAAUCCCUUUCCAGUGAAGGAAGUAGUCCAAACGAGUACUCCGACGGUGCCUCUAGUGCUGUGAUUAGGAGGCGAUGAUAAGUUGGAGAAGGGACAAAUAGCACUGAUGCUUCUACUAGACAAUGAAUCAUCUGACUCGGCCUUUGAUGAACCUGAACCCGUCCUACAAGUUUAUUGUUUUUGGGAAGGCCAGAAAAAAAAAAAAAAAGAAA